rnacentral:misc_RNA from 1 species
GAGCACGCGCUUGCCGGUGAAGCCCGGCGCGUGCUCGGUCAGCGCGCCGUCCGCAUCGACAGUGUAGGGGAUGACCGAGUUGAUGCCGCGCGCUUCGAGUUCGCGCGCAUUCGCGGUCCAGACAUCGAAGUCCUCGCGGCCGUGGCUAGGCGCCGUAUGCACAAAGCCGGUGCCGGUGUCGUCGGUGACAUGAUCGCCGGCCAGCAGCGG